rnacentral:rRNA from 1 species
ACAAGGUUUCCGUAGGUGAACCUGCGGAAGGAUCAUUACUGAGCGUGUGAGAUUACUGCCACAUGGCGGAGUUGAACUACCUCCACCCGUGCCGAUUUUAUCUAUCUGUUGCUUUGGUGGACCAGGUCACCUUGUGCCCUGCGGCUUUUUUCGGCUGUAGUGCGUCCGCCAGAGACAAAGCCCCCCCAACUCGUGAUUUUAUGUAACAGUGUGGUCUAAGGAGAAGAAAACUUGAAUUUUAUAAAUAUACUUAAAACUUUCAACAACGGAUCUCUUGGCUCUGGCAUCGAUGAAGAACGCAGCGAAAUGCGAUAAGUAAUGUGAAUUGCAGAAUUUAGUGAAUCAUCGAAUCUUUGAACGCACAUUGCGCCCCUUGGCAUUCCGAGGGGCAUGCCUGUUCGAGCGUCAUAACAACCCAUCAAGCCACCAUGGUUUGGUCUUGGGGCUCGCCGAUUUUCUGGCGUCCCUUAAAUAGAGUGGCAGUGCCGCGGGGCUCUACGCGUAGUAAGCAUUUUCUCUCGCGACAGAACACCGUUUGUGGACUGGCCAGAAGUUACAUCUUCUCAUCACAGUUUGACCUCGAAUCAGGUAGGGAUACCCGCUGAACUUAAGCAU